rnacentral:lncRNA from 1 species
GAGAAGCUCUGCGUCAUUGUAAAACCUCCUUCUGGCCCCAUCUGGCUCAGACUUAAAUGAUUCCAGUGUCUAUGGCCUGAGAAGUGCUUCAUGAAAUGAGGAACAGUGCCUCGAGUCAGAGAUUGGCAUGGUGCGGCGCCAGGAGGUGGAAAAGAGGCAUAGCCCAGGCUUCAGUGAAGCUAUAGUUGGCUGCAAGGAACCAUUUCAAAUCAUCUUAAUUCUACUGGGCCAUUCAGGUGGCAAAGGCCCAGAUGAGGAAACUGAAGCACAGAGAAGCAAAGUGAGCUAUAGUUUCUAAGACCAAAGCCUGGAGAGAAAAGAAGUUGAACACAUUGAUGCAGG